rnacentral:rRNA from 1 species
CCUACGGGGCGCUGCAGUGGGGAAUAUUGGACAAUGGGCGAAAGCCUGAUCCAGCCAUGCCGCGUGUGUGAAGAAGGCCUUCGGGUUGUAAAGCACUUUCAGUGGGGAAGAAAGCCUUGGGGCUAAUACCCUCGAGGAAGGACAUCACCCACAGAAGAAGCACCGGCUAACUCCGUGCCAGCAGCCGCGGUAAUACGGAGGGUGCGAGCGUUAAUCGGGAUUACUGGGCGUAAAGCGCGCGUAGGCGGUCUGAUAAGCCGGUUGUGAAAGCCCCGGGCUCAACCUGGGAACGGCAUCCGGAACUGUCAGGCUAGAGUGCAGGAGAGGAAGGUAGAAUUCCCGGUGUAGCGGUGAAAUGCGUAGAGAUCGGGAGGAAUACCAGUGGCGAAGGCGGCCUUCUGGACUGACACUGACGCUGAGGUGCGAAAGCGUGGGUAGCAAACAGGAUUAGAUACCCUAGUAGUC